CUUCUGGGAUGGUGUCAGGUUUUGGAAGAGGACAUUGAGCGCUUGCCACAUCCCAAGCAUUCAGACCAUGGAGCCUCCAGCAGGAGAUCCCUCCAAAAACUGAGAGUUCCAUUCUGCUCCUGUUCACUGAGAUGUUCCUGGAUUCUGCUUGGCUCUUUUUCCAUGUGGGAUCAUCUCUGCUGCAGGGUUCUUUGGCCUAACUCCAAAGAGAUUCCAUGGGAUGGGGAUGUAUUUUGGUGCUACCCACCUUCUUUUGGAAGGCAAUGUUGGGGAAGGAGUGGUUGUUGAAGCUGUAGCCUUUGGUAGUGAGCAAAUACACAAAUGUGCUGACAGCGCAGUAAUCUGG